rnacentral:rRNA from 1 species
CGGAGGAGGCUAGCGUUGUUCGGAAUUACUGGGCGUAAAGCGCGCGCAGGCGGCUUGGCAAGUCAGGGGUGAAAGCCCGGGGCUCAACCUCGGAACUGCCCUUGAGACUGUCAGGCUGGAGACCGAGAGAGGAGAGUGGAAUUCCCAGUGUAGAGGUGAAAUUCGUAGAUAUUGGGAAGAACACCAGUGGCGAAGGCGGCUCUCUGGCUCGGUACUGACGCUGAGGCGCGAAAGCGUGGGGAGCAAACAGGAUUAGAUACCCUGGUAGUCCACGCUGUAAACGAUGGAUGCUAGACGUUGGGGGGCUUGCCCUUCGGUGUCGCAGCUAACGCGAUAAGCAUCCCGCCUGGGGAGUACGGCCGCAAGGUUA